ACAUAAAAUAAGAAAAUUUGGCCCUGUAGCUGGAAGGUUCAAGCAAGCGACUCAUAAUCGCCAGAUGGUGGUUCAA
rnacentral:tRNA from 1 species